UACGUAGGUGGCAAGCGUUGUCCGGAAUUAUUGGACGUAAAGCGCGCGCAGGCGGUCCUUUAAGUCUGAUGUGAAAGCCCACGGCUCAACCGUGGAGGGUCAUUGGAAACUGGGGGACUUGAGUGCAGAAGAGGAGAGUGGAAUUCCACGUGUAGCGGUGAAAUGCGUAGAGAUGUGGAGGAACACCAGUGGCGAAGGCGACUCUCUGGUCUGUAACUGACGCUGAGGCGCGAAAGCGUGGGGAGCGAACAGG
rnacentral:rRNA from 1 species